rnacentral:misc_RNA from 1 species
UGGUUCUGGCAUCGAUGAAGAACGCAGCAAAAUGCGAUAAGUAAUGUGAAUUGCAGAAUUCAGUGAAUCAUCGAAUCUUUGAACGCACAUUGCGCCCCGUGGUAUUCCGCGGGGCAUGCCUGUUCGAGCGUCGGUUAGAUCCCCUCUCCCUACGCUUCAGAGCAUUAGGGGGGCCUUGAGCGUGAGUUUCCUCUAGUAGGAAACGCUCUCAACGUGUUGGCGGCAGUGUUGCGCCUCAGACGUAACGGAUUAAAGCGUCUAGAGGCCAACAUCUGUUCGCCCUCGGCGGAGGGGUAGAAGCCUCUGUCUACACUAUGUUCUGACCUCGGAUCAGGUAGGGAUACCCGCUGA